CACACGACUCUCGGCAACGGAUAUCUCGGCUCUCGCAUCGAUGAAGAACGUAGCGAAAUGCGAUACCUGGUGUGAAUUGCAGAAUCCCGCGAACCAUCGAGUCUUUGAACGCAAGUUGCGCCCGAGGCCACUCGGCSGAGGGCACGCCUGCCUGGGCGUCACGC
rnacentral:rRNA from 1 species